rnacentral:snRNA from 1 species
ACGUUCACCAGCCUGGGAGAUGGCAAGGUCAAGAAGAUGGCGUUCUCAGGGUAAGGCCCAUCUACUACAGUCUGCUGUGCUGACCCUGAGAUCUCCUCACAUCCAGAAAACUCAACUGUAUGAUUUGUGGCAGUGGGGGACUGCAUUCAUGUUCUCCCCUG